CGCCUCUUGAAAAACAUAAGAGGUCCAGCCUGCCCAGUGACAAAGUUCAACGGCCGCGGUACCCUAACCGUGCGAAGGUAGCAUAAUCACUUGUCCUUUAAAUAGGGACUAGUAUCAACGGCAUCACGAGGGCUAUACUGUCUCCUUUCUCCAAUCAGUGAAACUGAUCUCCCCGUGAAGAAGCGGGGAUUAAACUAUAAGACGAGAAGACCCCAUGGAGCUUUAAACUCAUCAUACACCUUUAUGACCUCACACCAACUAACCAAAAAGACCUGUAUGCUAGUUUUAGGUUGGGGGGACCACGGAGUACAAUUUAACCUCCACAACAAAUGGGCUAAUACCCUUAUCCACGAGAUACACCUCUAAGAAUUACUAAACUAAUGUUUAAUGACCCAAUAAUUUGAUCAAUGAACCAAGUUACCCUGGGGAUAACAGCGCAAUCUACUUCAAGAGCCCCUAUCGACAAGUAGGUUUACGACCUCGAUGUUGGAUCAGGGUAUCCUAGUGGUGCAGCCGCUACUAACGGU
rnacentral:rRNA from 1 species